rnacentral:ribozyme from 13 species
UUUCUUUCUUCUUUCUUCUUCUUCUCUCUUUUUCCUCUCUUCCUCUCUUCUCUUUUUCCCCAUCUUUGUUUCUUUUUGAAAAAACAAAAUCUAUGAACUGGCCAGUUUUUUUUGACUGAGAAAAAGUGCUCGCGAGACAAAGAAUAAUCGAAAAACUUCCAAAAUU